UACGGGGGGGCAAGCGUUGUUCGGAAUUACUGGGCGUAAAGGGCGCGUAGGCGGUUUGCUAAGUUGGAUGUGAAAACUCUGGGCUUAACCCAGAGCCUGCAUCCAAAACUGGCAAACUUGAGUACUGGAGGGGAAAGCGGAAUCCUGGUGUAGCGGUGAAAUGCGUAGAUAUCAGGAGGAACACCGGUGGCGAAGGCGGCUUCUGGACAGUAACUGACGCUGAGGCGCGAAAGCUAGGGGAGCAAACAGG
rnacentral:rRNA from 1 species